UCAGAUCGUGUGCUCCUCCGAUAUAGGAAGUUGGCCAUUUCCCACUCUGACGUUUUGUGGGUAGCCUUGGGGCUGCCAUGGGGCCUGUGGGCGUGUUAGUCACCAUGUUAAUAUGUUACA